AUUGGAUUAUGAUGAAAGAAGGAGUUGGUGAUUAUCAAAUGAUAUGAUCCUAAUAAAAAUUUCUCCUUUUUUUCGCUACGUUCUUUCUGAAUCCAAA